rnacentral:sRNA from 1 species
AAGUUGCUAAAAACAGUGUUGAAUUGGG